AGAGUUUGAUCCUGGCUCAGGAUGAACGCUGGCGGCAUGCCUAAUACAUGCAAGUCGAGCGAGCUUGCCUAGAUGAUUUUAGUGCUUGCACUAAAUGAAACUAGAUACAAGCUAGCGGCGGACGGGUGAGUAACACGUGGGUAACCUGCCCAAGAGACUGGGAUAACACCUGGAAACAGAUGCUAAUACCGGAUAACAACACUAGACGCAUGUCUAGAGUUUAAAAGAUGGUUCUGCUAUCACUCUUGGAUGGACCUGCGGUGCAUUAGCUAGUUGGUAAGGUAACGGCUUACCAAGGCAAUGAUGCAUAGCCGAGUUGAGAGACUGAUCGGCCACAUUGGGACUGAGACACGGCCCAAACUCCUACGGGAGGCAGCAGUAGGGAAUCUUCCACAAUGGACGCAAGUCUGAUGGAGCAACGCCGCGUGAGUGAAGAAGGGUUUCGGCUCGUAAAGCUCUGUUGGUAGUGAAGAAAGAUAGAGGUAGUAACUGGCCUUUAUUUGACGGUAAUUACCUAGAAAGUCACGGCUAACUACGUGCCAGCAGCCGCGGUAAUACGUAGGUGGCAAGCGUUGUCCGGAUUUAUUGGGCGUAAAGCGAGCGCAGGCGGUUGCUUAGGUCUGAUGUGAAAGCCUUCGGCUUAACCGAAGAAGUGCAUCGGAAACCGGGCGACUUGAGUGCAGAAGAGGACAGUGGAACUCCAUGUGUAGCGGUGGAAUGCGUAGAUAUAUGGAAGAACACCAGUGGCGAAGGCGGCUGUCUGGUCUGUCACUGACGCUGAGGCUCGAAAGCAUGG
rnacentral:rRNA from 1 species